GAUGAACGCUGGCGGCGUGCCUAAUACAUGCAAGUCGAGCGAACGGACGAGAAGCUUGCUUCUCUGAUGUUAGCGGCGGACGUGUGAGUAACACGUGGAUAACCUACCUAUAAGCCUGGGAUAACUUCGGGAAACCGGAGCUAAUACCGGAUAAUAUUUUGAACCGCAUGGUUCAAAAGUGAAAGACGGUCUUGCUGUCACUUAUAGAUGGAUCCGCGCUGCAUUAGCUAGUUGGUAAGGUAACGGCUUACCAAGGCAACGAUGCAUAGCCGACCUGAGAGGGUGAUCGGCCACACUGGAACUGAGACACGGUCCAGACUCCUACGGGAGGCAGCAGUAGGGAAUCUUCCGCAAUGGGCGAAAGCCUGACGGAGCAACGCCGCGUGAGUGAUGAAGGUCUUCGGAUCGUAAAACUCUGUUAUUAGGGAAGAACAUAUGUGUAAGUAACUGUGCACAUCUUGACGGUACCUAAUCAGAAAGCCACGGCUAACUACGUG
rnacentral:rRNA from 1 species